GUCAGAUACGGUGCCGGGUGCCUGUAAUCCCAGCUACUCGGGAGGCUGAGACAAGAGGAUUGCUUGAGUCCAGGAGUUCUGGGCUGUAGUGUUCUAUGCUGAUCAGGUGUCUGCACUGAGUUUGGCAUCAAUACAGUGACCUCCUGGGAGUGGGGGGCCACCAGGUUGCCUAAGGAGGGGUGAACUGGCCCGGGUCAGAAACGGAGCAGGUCAAAACUCCCAUGGUGAUCAGUAGUGGGAUUGUGUCUGUGAAUAGCCACUGCACUCCAGCCUGGGUAACAUAGCAAGACCCCAUCUCUA
rfam:Otolemur garnettii contig160060, whole genome shotgun sequence.